CGUCGCACCGCCGCCCGUUCCGAGCUCCGCGAGGUCGAUCCGCUCUGUCGCCAUCGCCCCUAGAUCAGAUCAGUACCUGCCGCCGCCAUUGCCGUCGACCGCCGGCCGGAGUCCCGCGACCCAAUCCUAACGCGCGGGAACUCAUUCAUCAUCUUGCCAUCGUGCGUUCCGAGCUCGGCAUGGUGAUCCACUCCCGUCGUCAUUGCCCACAGGAGCUUCUUCGAUGGUGUAGCAUUCGGGCGGAUCCGGCACGGCGGCCCACUUUGGUCCAGCUGCACGCGAUGUGUGGUAGAAGCAUCCCCAGGCCCCUGCCCAGCAAUCUGCUCUUCUGAUGGAUGAGAUAGUACAUGAAUUUUGGCUGUCGAUUGUUGCAAUCAUGGAGUUGCAGGAUAUUUUUCCUAUUUCCCAUUUGAUUCCGUGAGGCAGCACACCAGGGUGUGGAAAUCAAGGUUA